rnacentral:rRNA from 1 species
CAGGUGGUCAGGUAGAGAAUACCAAGGCGCUUGAGAGAACUCGGGUGAAGGAACUAGGCAAAAUGGUGCCGUAACUUCGGGAGAAGGCACGCUGACACGUAGGUGAAGUGAUUUACUCAUGGAGCUGAAGUCAGUCGAAGAUACCAGCUGGCUGCAACUGUUUAUUAAAAACACAGCACUGUGCAAACACGAAAGUGGACGUAUACGGUGUGACGCCUGCCCGGUGCCGGAAGGUUAAUUGAUGGGGUCAGCGCAAGCGAAGCUCCUGAUCGAAGCCCCGGUAAACGGCGGCCGUAACUAUAACGGUCCUAAGGUAGCGAAAUUCCUUGUCGGGUAAGUUCCGACCUGCACGAAUGGCGUAAUGAUGGCCAGGCUGUCUCCACCCGAGACUCAGUGAAAUUGAACUCGCUGUGAAGAUGCAGUGUACCCGCGGCAAGACGGAAAGACCCCGUGAACCUUUACUAUAGCUUGACACUGAACAUUGAGCCUUGAUGUGUAGGAUAGGUGGGAGGCUUUGAAGUGUGGACGCCAGUCUGCAUGGAGCCGACCUUGAAAUACCACCCUUUAAUGUUUGAUGUUCUAACGUGGACCCGUAAUCCGGGUUGCGGACAGUGUCUGGUGGGUAGUUUGACUGGGGCGGUCUCCUCCUAAAGAGUAACGGAGGAGCACGAAGGUUGGCUAAUCCUGGUCGGACAUCAGGAGGUUAGUGCAAUGGCAUAAGCCAGCUUGACUGCGAGCGUGACGGCGCGAGCAGGUGCGAAAGCAGGUCAUAGUGAUCCGGUGGUUCUGAAUGGAAGGGCCAUCGCUCAACGGAUAAAAGGUACUCCGGGGAUAACAGGCUGAUACCGCCCAAGAGUUCAUAUCGACGGCGGUGUUUGGCACCUCGAUGUCGGCUCAUCACAUCCUGGGGCUGAAGUAGGUCCCAAGGGUAUGGCUGUUCGCCAUUUAAAGUGGUACGCGAGCUGGGUUUAGAACGUCGUGAGACAGUUCGGUCCCUAUCUGCCGUGGGCGCUGGAGAACUGAGGGGGGCUGCUCCUAGUACGAGAGGACCGGAGUGGACGCAUCACUGGUGUUCGGGUUGUCAUGCCAAUGGCACUGCCCGGUAGCUAAAUGCGGAAGAGAUAAGUGCUGAAAGCAUCUAAGCACGAAACUUGCCCCGAGAUGAGUUCUCCCUGAGACUUUAGGUCUCCUGAAGGAACGUUGAAGACGACGACGUUGAUAGGCCGGGUGUGUAAGCGCAGCGAUGCGUUGAGCUAACCGGUACUAAUGAACCGUGAGGCUUAACCUU